CUGGAGCACGCCGCGUGAGUGAUGAAGGUUUUCGGAUCGUAAAACUCUGUUGUUAAAGAAGAACAAGUGUUAGAGUAACUGUUAACACUUUGACGGUAUUUAACCAGAAAGCCACGGCUAACUACGUGCCAGCAGCCGCGGUAAUACGUAGGUGGCAAGCGUUGUCCGGAUUUAUUGGGCGUAAAGCGAGCGCAGGCGGUUUUGUAAGUCUGCUGUGAAAGCCCUCAGCUCAACUGAGGAAGUGCAGUGGAAACUACAAAACUUGAGUACAGAAGAGGAAAGUGGAACUCCAUGUGUAGCGGUGAAAUGCGUAGAUAUAUGGAAGAACACCAGUGGCGAAGGCGGCUUUCUGGUCUGUUACUGACGCUGAGGCUCGAAAGCAUGGGUAGCGAACAGGAUUAGAUACCCUGGUAGUCCAUGCCGUAAACGAUGAAUACUAGGUGUUGGAGGGUUUCCGCCCUUCAGUGCCGCAGCUAACGCAUUAAGUAUUCCGCCUGGGGAGUACGACCGCAAGGUUGAAACUCAAAGGAAUUGACGGGGGCCCGCACAAGUGGUGGAGCAUGUGGUUUAAUUCGAUGCUACGCGAAGAACCUUACCAGCUCUUGACAUCUUCUGCCAACCCAAGAGAUUGGGCGUUCCCUUCGGGGACAGAAUGACAGGUGGUGCAUGGUUGUCGUCAGCUCGUGUCGUGAGAUGUUGGGUUAAGUCCCGCAACGAGCGCAACCCUUAUUAUUAGUUGCCAGCAUUUAGUUGGGCACUCUAGUGAGACUGCCGGUGAUAAACCGGAGGAAGGUGGGGACGACGUCAAAUCAUCAUGCCCCUUAUGAGCUGGGCUACACACGUGCUACAAUGGAUGGUACAACGAGUCGCGAAACCGCGAGGUCAAGCUAAUCUCUUAAAGCCAUUCUCAGUUCGGAUUGCAGGCUGCAACUCGCCUGCAUGAAGUUGGAAUCACUAGUAAUCGUGGAUCAGCAUGCCA
rnacentral:rRNA from 2 species